rnacentral:rRNA from 1 species
AUUGAACGCUGGCGGCAUGCCUUACACAUGCAAGUCGAACGGUAACAGGUCUUCGGAUGCUGACGAGUGGCGAACGGGUGCGUAAUACAUCAGAACGUGCCCGAUCGUGGGGGAUAACGAGGCGAAAGCUUUGCUAAUACCGCAUACGAUCUACGGAUGAAAGCGGGGGAUCUUCGGACCUCGCGCGGCCGGAGCGGCCGAUGGCAGAUUAGGUAGUUGGUGGGAUAAAAGCUUACCAAGCCGACGAUCUGUAGCUGGUCUGAGAGGAUGAUCAGCCACACUGGGACUGAGACACGGCCCAGACUCCUACGGGAGGCAGCAGUGGGGAAUUUUGGACAAUGGGCGAAAGCCUGAUCCAGCCAUGCCGCGUGCAGGAUGAAGGCCUUUGGGUUGUAAACUGCUUUUGUACGGAACGAAAAGCCUCUUUCUAAUAAAGAGGGGUCAUGACGGUACCGUAAGAAUAAGCACCGGCUAACUACGUG